UUGGCAAACCGGUCGUGUCUAUCGUGUUCGUGUAACACCUGUUAUCUUAACGGGUCGUGUCGUGUCACACCUGUUAUCUUAACAGGUCAGGUCACUUUACCCAACGGAUAAAGUGACCCGACCCGUUAUGAGUUUAUUCAUAAUUUUAUUAAGUAUAACAUAAGAUUUUGUGGUAUCCACUGGUGUAAAUAUUUUAAAUUGAAGAUCGAAUUCAUUCAUUGUAUUCAUAUAGGGUCAAGGAGUGUAAUUGUAAAGAAUCAUCAAAAUCGGAGUUAAAAUAACCGUUAAAUCGUGAUUUUUCUUUUUAUAACCGUCGAAAAGUUUUGUCCCGUUAAUUGAUCUCUGAAUGUUUGUUUUUUGCAAUUUUUGGUGUAUGAGAUCUCGAAGUAUAUACAAACAUGUUUGACGGUUGGAUCGUUGAAACUAGUUUCGUAGAAUGUGUAUCCCAUCAAAACAAUAGAUUCACUAACACUUAAGAGUUUAUUUAUACUUUCAUUAAGUAUAACAAAAGAUUUUAUGGUAUCCACUGGUGUAAAUAUUUUAAAUUGAAGAUCGAAUUCAUUCAUUGUAUUCAUAUAGGGUCAAGGAGUGUAACUAUAAAAAAUCAUCAAAAUCGGAGUUAAAAUAACCGUUAAAUCGUGAUUUUUCGUUUUAUAACCGUCGAAAAGUUUUGUUCGGUUACAUAAUCUCUUAAUGUUUGUUUUUUACAAUUUUUGGCGUAUGUGAUCUCGAAGUAUAUACAAAUAUGUUUGACUGUUGGAUCGUUGAAACUAGUUUUGUAAAAUGCGUAUCCCAUCAAAACAAUAGAUUCACUAACAUUUAAGAGUUUAUUCAUAAUUUCAUCAAGUAUAACAUAAGAUUUUAUGGUAUCCACUAGUGCAAAUAUUUUAAAUUGAAGAUCGAAUUGAUUCAUUGUAUUCAUAUAGGGUCAAGGAGUGUAGCUGUAAAGAAUCAUCAAAAUCGGAGUUAAAAUAACCGUUAAAUCGUGAUUUUUCUUUUUAGAACCGUCGAAAAGUUUUGUCCCGUUACUUGAUCUCUGAAUGUUUGUUUUUUGCAAUUUUUGGUGUAUGCGAUCUCGAAGUAUAUACAAACAUGUUUGACGGUUGGAUCGUUGAAAUUAGUUUCGUAGAUGCAUAUCCCAUCAAAACAAUAGAUUCACUAACACUUAAGAGUUUAUUUAUACUUUCAUUAAAUAUAACAUAAGAUUUUGUGGUAUCUACUAGUGUAAAUAUUUUAAAUUGAAGAUCAAAUUCAUUCAUUGUAUUCAUAUAUGGUCAAGGAGUGUAGCUGUAAAAAAUCAUUAAAAUCGGAGUUAAAAUAACUGUUAAAUUGUGAUUUUUCGUUUUAUAACCGUCGAAAAGUUUUGUUCGGUUACUUAAUCUCUGAAUGUUUGUUUGUUGCAAUUUUUGGCGUAUGCAAUCUCGAAGUAUAUACAAACAAGUUUGACGGUUGGAUCGUUGAAACUAAUUUUGUAGAAUGCGUAUCCCAUCAAAACAAUAGAUUCACUAAUAUUUAAGAGUUUAUUUAUACUUUUAUUAAGUAUAACAUAAGAUUUUGUGGUAUCCGCUAAUGUAAAUAUUUUAAAUUGAAGAUCAAAUUCAUUCAUUGUAUUCAUAUAGGGUCAAUGAGUGUAGCUGUAAAAAAUCAUAAAAAUUGGAGUUAAAAUAACCGUUAAAUUGUGAUUUUUCGUUUUAUAACCGUCGAAAAGUUUUGUUCGGUUACUUGAUCUCUGAAUAUUUUUUUUUUGUGAUUUUUAAUGAUGCGAUCUCGAAACAUAUACAAACAAGUUUUGCGGUUGGAUCGUUGAAAUUAGUUUCGUAUAAUUCAUAUCUCAUCAAGGUCAAUGGUAUGUAUGUGUGUGUGUGUAUAUAUAUAUAUUAAGUAGAUUUAAAUCUAUUUAUUUUGUAAGUAUAAUUAUUAUAGUUUUUAAGGGUAUAAAAUUUAAUUUAAAAUUAUAUAUAUAUAAUUAAUAUAGUUAAUUUAAUAUAUA
rnacentral:lncRNA from 1 species